GGGGGUAUAGCUCAGUUUGGUAGAGCACCUGCCCUGCAAGCAGGGGGUCGACAGUUCGAGUCUGUUUACCUCCACCA
rnacentral:tRNA from 1 species